rnacentral:pre_miRNA from 1 species
GUACUACUCCCUCCGUCCGAAAAUACUUGUCAUCAAAAUGGAUGAAAAGGGAUGUAUCUAGAACUAAUAUACAUCUAGAUACAUCCCAUUUUAUUCAUUUUGAUGAUAAGUAUUUCCGGACGGAGGGAGUACAUC